UAAGUAUCUUUAAAAAAACAUCAAUCGACUCUUAUCUGUCACUAGUUCCAGUUUCAGAGUAUAAAAUCCGGGUACACAUGCAGCCACGGCUAGCUGGGUAGCCAGACAGUUCGAAUACGGACAAGUUAUUGUGAAUAAAAAAUCUUAUCGUCUUGCAAAAGUUAAUGUCAUAAAUGUAUAGGUUUCGAAUACAUGAAUAUAAAGUGAAAAUGCUGGUAAAAGUAUUAGUUUUUAUCAUUAACCAUUUUAUAUCCCAACAAAACUGUUACCCUUACAAAAAUAAAAUGCUUUCAUUACCUAAUGUAGGUUACGUUAGGUAAUAAAUAAAUAAAUAUGUAGGGACAAUCUUACACAGAUUGGCCCCAAACUAAUCAAAGCUUGUACUAUGGGUACUAGGCGACGUUAAACAUACUUAUUUAGAUAAAUAUAUAUUUACGUAUAUACAUAGAAAACACGCAAGCCUUAGGAACAAAUACGCGAUUCAAACUCGGGACCAUCGGCUUCAUAGGCAGGGUCACUACCCACUAGGCCAAACCGGUCGGCAAAAGGUAAAGAUAAUUAGGUAAAGACAAUGAAUAAUUAAACUUAUUAUAAAUUGACACCAAUAUCCAUCAAAUAGUAUAACUAGGUAUGCUAAGAGCGGGCUUCAGGCCAUUACGUCGCACCUUUAGAAUUAAAUUAAUUUGACUCAAAAAGUACGACUACUUUAUAUAUGUAGUUUGGUAGAACAGUAAGAACUCACUAUAUGUGUCUCUUUUUCAUGCGGUGAAAUCCCCCCCACCCGGAAAGGAUAGCGACGCCCAUUUUAUCGACUCUCGAGUCGACUCCAAUCUGAUACUAAUAAAACCAUACGGAAAUAAUGAGGAUGCAUCGACAUAAGAAGAAUCGAACAUGGGCAAGAUAAAGUUCAAGAAAAAAGCAAAUAUAAUGUGUACUUGUGUGUAGUCAAAGAAAGUUGAAAAAUAAAGCAUAAUUAAUGGCCAUAGAAUACAGAACCGAUACACGAACAUUAAGACUAUUAAAAAUAGACAUAUAGGUUGAUCGUACUACUCGUACUAAUGUAUAUCUUUUGUUCAAUUAUAUUAUUGCAUUAAAGUUAGAUUCUCUAGAUAUAUAUUAUUCAUAGGUUCUGUAUUCUAUACGAAUUGUUUCAGUGUAAUUAUUGUACUAAAUACCGUUGACCGCCUGUCAACAGUAUUUAUUUCUACAUUACUAUCACAGAAGAUUUUAGGCCCUACCGUACAGUUUUUGAAUUAGUAUUUACUAUGGACAAAUAUAGCGAAAUGUGAGUUUUUACCUAAAA